rnacentral:tRNA from 1 species
GGGGCUGUAGCUCAGUGGCAGAGUGCUUGCCUAGCAUGCAUGAGGCACUGGGUUCAAUCUUCAGCACCACA